CAGCAGCCGCGGUAAUACGUAGGGGGCAAGCGUUGUCCGGAAUCAUUGGGCGUAAAGCGCGUGUAGGCGGCCAUCCAAGUCCGAUGUGAAAGCUCGGGGCUCAACCCCGAGUCUGCAUUGGAAACUGGCUGGCUUGAGUCCGGAAGAGGAGACUGGAAUUCCUGGUGUAGCGGUGAAAUGCGCAGAUAUCAGGAAGAACACCGGUGGCGAAGGCGGGUCUCUGGGACGGUACUGACGCUGAGACGCGAAAGCGUGGGGAGCAAACAGGAUUAGAUACCCUGGUAGUCCACGCCGUAAACGAUGGGCACUAGGUGUGGGAGGUGUCGACUCCUUCCGUGUCGAAGCUAACGCAUUAAGUGCCCCGCCUGGGGAGUACGGCCGCAAGGCUAAAACUCAAAGGAAUUGACGG
rnacentral:rRNA from 1 species